CAGUAGCCGCGGUAAUACGAAGGGUGCAAGCGUUACUCGGAAUUACUGGGCGUAAAGCGUGCGUAGGUGGUGGUUUAAGUCCGUUGUGAAAGCCCUGGGCUCAACCUGGGAAUUGCAGUGGAUACUGGGUCACUAGAGUGUGGUAGAGGAUAGUGGAAUUUCCGGUGUAGCAGUGAAAUACGUAGAGAUCGGGAGGAACAUCAGUGGCGAAGGCGGCCAUCUGGGACAACACUGACACUGAGGCACGAAAGCGUGGGGAGCAAACAGGAUUAGAUACCCGCGUAGUCCCUGUCUCUUAUAC
rnacentral:rRNA from 1 species